CCUACGGGUGGCAGCAGUGGGGGAUAUUGCACAAUGGGCGCAAGCCUGAUGCAGCGACGCCGCGUGGGCGAAGAAGUGUUUCGGCGUGUAAAGCUCUAUCAGCAGGGAAGAAAAUGACGGUACCUGACUAAGAAGCUCCGGCUAAAUACGUGCCAGCAGCCGCGGUAAUACGUAUGGGGCAAGCGUUAUCCGGAUUUACUGGGUGUAAAGGGGGCGUAGGCGGCCCUGUAAGCCAGAUGUGAAAAUUCGGGGCUCAACCCCAAAAGUGCAUUGGAAACUGCAGGGCUUGAGUGCCGGAGAGGCAGGCGGAAUUCCUAGUGUAGCGGUGAAAUGCGUAGAUAUUAGGAGGAACACCAGUGGCGAAGGCGGCCUGCUGGACGGUAACUGACGCUGAGGCCCGAAAGCGUGGGGAGCAAACAGGAUUAGAUACCCUGGUAGCC
rnacentral:rRNA from 1 species